AUGCCCACUAAUCCGCUCACGACCUCGUACCCCCGAACCGACAUCACGUCUCAGUUGAAAAAAAAACGUCCCCGACUCCACCCCUCCCCAGCCACCACAGAACUCCUCCCUGUUCCCAUCGCUGCCGCCCGCCGCUCCUCCUCUCCUCUGUUACCCCGUCGCGAGGAACCAACCUCCCGAAGCAACCGGAGCGGCAAGCGGCGGAAGAAUGGAGAGAUGGCGUCUACGGCGACGACGAAGGAGAUGGGGCGGGCGUCCUACAUCUGGAUCAAGCACGAGGAGGAGCGGCGCAAGGCUUCCUGGAAGGAGCCCGAGGCCCGGGUCUUCUCCGCCACCACGCGCACUGAUGUCGCCGCGCUCCUCGGCGAGCCCCGCGACCAGAUCCUCGUCGGUCGUGCCUCCUUCGCCGACCUCGCCGCACAGCAGUCCGGCUGCUGGGGAGUGAAACGUUUUGACAUGCCUUUUGUUUGUGUUGGCAGGAACUCCAGUUCACGCUCUGUUUUGGUGGAUCUCACUACGCUCAGGAGGUGUUCGACGAAAUGCAAAGCCAGAGAAAAACUAGAGAUGAGACACAGCUUCUGUAAUGUCAUGCAUCUAUUUAGGGAAGUCAUUCUAGAUAAUGAGCUAUUUCAUGCAGUUCUUGUCCCUGGAGACUUCUCAAGUGCAACUUACGGGUAUCUUGAACCAUCAACACCGCCUCCAGCUGACACCACCCUAGGCUCCGGGGAGUACACCGGGCCACUGACAGCUGCGUGCAAGAAAUUCAGGAAGUUGGGCAAAGUAGGGUCGUUCUGGAGGCCAUCACCGUUGUGCAUCACCGACCAGGCAACCUCGAAGCAUGCUACCUUCUUGGAAAUUAUCCGAUUGUAUUUCUGGGGAGCCGGGAGGCAGGAGCAACGCUGCCGAGAAUUGGAGACUGGCAAGAUAGAGUUCGGCCAUAGUGUACUGCCUGGAAAGGAAGGCAUUGCACUGGAGGGUGGCGCAGGUGGUAAUGGAGGAGGCGGCGAUGAGUAUUGCGUCAGGCGGCAAUCGGAUUUAAGCGUGGAAGAUAUUGGCAUCGAUAUGAGAGUGGGCGAGAGCCAUAGGAAAAAGGAUCUGGUGAAGAAAGAACAUAAGAGAUGGGUGUGGGUCAGUGGGUGUUAUCGGCCUGGCUAG
rnacentral:rRNA from 1 species